rnacentral:rRNA from 1 species
GCGAACGCUGGCGGCAGGCCUAAUACAUGCAAGUCGAGCGGUCCCUUCGGGGGCAGCGGCGGACGGGUGAGUAACGCGUGGGAACGUGCCCUUUGGUACGGAACAACUGAGGGAAACUUCAGCUAAUACCGUAUGUGCCCUUCGGGGGAAAGAUUUAUCGCCAUUGGAGCGGCCCGCGUUAGAUUAGCUAGUUGGUAGGGUAAUGGCCUACCAAGGCGACGAUCUAUAGCUGGUCUGAGAGGAUGAUCAGCCACACUGGGACUGAGACACGGCCCAGACUCCUACGGGAGGCAGCAGUAGGGAAUCUUGCGCAAUGGGCGAAAGCCUGACGCAGCCAUGCCGCGUGAAUGAUGAAGGUCUUAGGAUUGUAAAAUUCUUUCACCGGGGACGAUAAUGACGGUACCCGGAGAAGAAGCCCCGGCUAACUUCGUGCCAGCAGCCGCUGUAAGAC